rnacentral:lncRNA from 1 species
ACUCAUUGUCAGGCAGGACUCUGGUGCCUUACCCAUGUUACCAAGGCCAUCUUCACAACUAUCUAAUCAGGUAGGAGGGUAUUAUUUUCAUUUUUAUUUUACAGAUGAAGAAACUAAGGCCUGUGGGAUAAAUUUACCCAGCUGUCUGUUUUUGCUUUUGUUUUUUAUUGCCAUGAGCAAAUAAUAUAUUUUACAUUUUAAAAUUAAUUACAUUUUAAAUGGUUACAGAGGUACCAACAUAAUAUAAUUGAUUUUAAUUUGGCCCCACAAAGGCUGAAACUUUUACUGUCUGGCCAUUUAGAAACAAGUAUUCCUACUCCAGUGAGUCUAACCAUCAGGCUAUUAUUCACACACGCUUGUAUUUUUAUUACUGGUUACAAUUAGCUGUGGCAUAGCUGCUGCUUGUGGAUUGAGAUGUGUAGUUGAGAAGUGCUGUACUAAAACAUAUCAUCAACUCUAGAGACUUAAAACAGGCUAUCUAUGGGUUUUAUUGUUUCUCCUGUUCCUUUCCUCCUUUGCCAUAAAUAAUCUCUGAAUAGACUGUGUGUGUGUGUGUGUGUGUGUGUGUGUGUGUGUUUUAACUACUAAAAUGAAUUGAUAAAAUUUCUCACUCUGUCUUUAACUCAUUUUAAAUGUACCCAGUUUUUCCUAAGGGGACAGCAAAAGGAUUGAACAGAGAUGAGACAGAGGAAAUCCGAAAAAAAAAAAAAUCAGGAACUCCAAUUCAGGAACACAGCCGUUGUUUCCAGAAUCUAUGUCAGCGGUUACUAUGGUGUUAGUGAGGCCCUGGAGACGGAGUAGGACAUGUACCUAGCCUAAAAUCUGAAACUGGCCUGCUAUGUGGGCAUUUCUUGGCAGAUAGGGAGAAGCAUGCCAAAUACCACAUUACUAAUCACAGAGGUGCUUGGUAAGCAUUGAAUUAUGGCAACGGAGUGGGUUUAUUACGAAUAUUGUAAUCUGUGACAUGUGCCACAGAUACCAUUUCCACAGAACUCUAAUAGUUAUUGGGCAUGGCAGAGGCAGGGUACCUACACGAUUAAAUAAGUCUGAAAAAUUUUUGGCUACAAAGAGUUAACUUUCCUAAGUCAGAAAGAUUCCUGAAACCCAUAAAAUGUUGAUUGCCAUUAUCAGUCCAUAAGUGG